GAUUGACAAACAUACAUUGUUUGCAGUAUAAGGAGCUUUUCCGUUUCAAUGGUUCUUACUUUCCUUUCAAUAAAACAUAGUCAGCACACAGCCUGACUGCCAACUUCAAUACUCAACAGGCUUCACAUCACAUGGUCAGUCCAAGACACCCACCAUUGGCUACCGGCAGUUUCCAUGGAGACAGAGCUCAGUGUGCCUUCCUGGGAAAAUGUAAACAGUCAGUGAACAUGGGAGGAUUUAUAUAAAUUGUUUUCUAAUUUCUCAUUCCCAUUAUGGAAUGGAUACUGGUUGACAAUCAGAGAGAGAAAAAGAAGAAAGGAGGUGGAGCCAAGGACCUGAGCCCUAGGACCAUGCCUCAGGACUACCUGGCAUGAUGACUCCUUGCUGUCCCCAGUCCACCUGGCCAUGCUGCUGCUCCAGUUUCAACUGUUCUGCCUGUGAUUAUUAUUAUUUGACCAUGCCGGUACGAAGGGCUAUAUAAAUACAUUUGAUUUGAUUUUGAUUUGAUUUGAUGGCAAAAUGUGUAGAAUUGCGGAAAGCAUGGUUUAAAACUGCAAUUGUUUUAUCUCUACCCCAUGGCAAAAUGUGUAGAAUUGCAAGAAAUGUUUUAUAAAAUUGCUGAACUUCUCUCCACCCCAUGGCAAAAUUUGUAGAAUUGCAGAAAACUUGCUUUAAAACAGUUAAAUAGUCCUGUACUCCCCAUGGAAAAAAUGUAUAUAAUUGCAGGACAUUAACUUUAAAACUUAAAUCAUUCUCUCUGUGGUCAAGACUGGGUCUACAAAAGGCUAGGGCCGGCCCUGUGUAUGACUCAUAGAUAACUCAGUGUGGUCAUCAAACUAUGCAGUUUAGUGGUACCACCAAUCUUUAUCCCCUCUUCUCAUCUAUUCUAAUAUGUGAAGUUUGGGCUGUUGACUUUUGACAUUGGUGGAAGUUACCUUCAGUUGUUUGGAGUCACCUAAACACACAAACAGUAAUAAAAUGUCCCUUAAACCCACAUUCUGACUACAACCUAAAACAUACAGCCAGACUUCCUGAAGUUCAUUAUAUCAGUUGUAUUAUUUUGGACCGGUUAAACAUCAAUCAUGCUAUUACAAUUGCCCUUGUUAUUCGUAUAAUUGUGUGGUCUCAAAGCAAUUCGGGGAUUUACUUCUUUGCUGCCUCAGUGAAUCUGAGGAUGAAGAUUAGAUUCCUACUGAGGCAUGAAGUAUGAAGGAGGUGAGUGAUGUGAUGUGUGGGCAGGAAACACACCAUAUUACGGUGUCCAUUUUAGGACACACUCAGUCUUAAAUCCUCACCCCUUGAUUUAGAACCUCGUAUAUAUAAGAUCCCCCUGUUUAAGGGACCUGCGUGGUGUGCAGGAUAAAUCAUUGUUAAAUUUGACAAAGCUGGCCAUAUCACAUAGUUGUCCCGAUUGGUAUUUUUAAUUAAAUCACUGAUGAAUGAUCUUGAGACUGAUUCCCUGACCUGUCAAUGUUUUUAAUUUGCUGUUUCUGAUUUUGUUAUACUCUUGUGAAUUCUACGGUUUUUACUAGAUUACUUGUAGUUUUUCAUGUUGUUUGUCUGUAAUUUUUAUAAUGAGUUGGUGCUGCGCAUCUUGGCCAGGACACUCUUGAAAAAGAGAUUUUAAAUCUCAAUGAGCCCUUCCUGGUUUAAUAAAGGUUAAAUAAAUAAAUCAAUCAAAUGUG